AGAGUUUGAUCAUGGCUCAGAACGAACGCUGGCGGCAGGCUUAACACAUGCAAGUCGAACGCACCGCAAGGUGAGUGGCGCACGGGUGAGUAACGCGUGGGUAUAUGCCCUUUGGUUCGGAAUAACUCGGCGAAAGCUGAGCUAAUACCGGAUAAGCCCUUCGGGGGAAAGAUUUAUCGCCAAAGGAUUAGCCCGCGUCCGAUUAGCUAGUUGGUAGGGUAAAGGCCUACCAAGGCUACGAUCGGUAGCUGGUCUGAGAGGAUGAUCAGCCACACUGGGACUGAGACACGGCCCAGACUCCUACGGGAGGCAGCAGUGGGGAAUAUUGGACAAUGGGGGAAACCCUGAUCCAGCCAUGCCGCGUGAGUGAUGAAGGCCUUCGGGUUGUAAAGCUCUUUCAGGAGUGACGAUGAUGACGGUAACUCCAGAAGAAGCCCCGGCUAACUUCGUGCCAGCAGCCGCGGUAAUUC
rnacentral:rRNA from 1 species